rfam:Aeromonas sp. RT39B genome assembly, contig: Ga0136726_106
GAGCAAUUUGGGGGCUGUAAUCCACGGGCGGUAGCGUG